rnacentral:lncRNA from 1 species
GUCGAGAGAAGGUCUUUGAGUUCUGUGUAUUUAGAGAUCUUUUUUGUACGCAUGAUCAUUUUGUGUAAUUAAAAGGAUAUUUACUGUUGUUGCUUGGUUGCAUAUAUUAGUGGGCCUUGUCAAGGUAAUUCUACGUAUUAAAUGCAGAAUGAGCAAUUAAAAUUAGAUGCAAAUAACUCAAAAAAGUUUAAGGGGGAGAACUGUAAAUAUAGGUGUUUGGCAUUUAUCACACUGAGAAUUUAGUGCAUACUAAUACUAUAGUCUUAGAAAUGUUUUAUCUUACAGAUGAAUUUCUUUUUUAUGCUCUCUUAUAUUUUAAUUUUACUUUCUGAUAAAACCAGGUACAAAAAAAUGGUCACUCAAAGCAUCCAGAUCAGAAGCCCUAAAACAACAGCAGUUAAUAUUUAAAGAGUCAUU